AUUGAACGCUGGCGGAAUGCUUUACACAUGCAAGUCGAACGGCAGCGCGGGGGCAACCCUGGUGGCGAGUGGCGAACGGGUGAGUAAUACAUCGGAACGUGCCCAGUCGUGGGGGAUAACGUAGCGAAGGUUACGCUAAUACCGCAUACGAUCUACGGAUGAAAGCGGGGGACCGUAAGGCCUCGCGCGAUUGGAGCGGCCGAUGUCAGAUUAGGUAGUUGGUGAGGGAAAGGCUCACCAAGCCGACGAUCUGUAGCUGGUCUGAGAGGACGACCAGCCACACGGGGACUGAGACACGGCCCAGACUCCUACGGGAGGCAGCGGUGGGGAAUUUUGGACAAUGGGCGCAAGCCUGAUCCAGCCAUUCCGCGUGCAGGACGAAGGCCUUCGGGUUGUAAACUGCUUUUGUACGGAACGAAAAGGCUCUGGUUAAUACCUGGGGCUCAUGACGGUACCGUAAGAAUAAGCGCCGGCUAACUACGUGCCAGCAGCCGCCGCCG
rnacentral:rRNA from 1 species